GAUGAACGCUGGCGGCGUGCCUAAUACAUGCAAGUCGAGCGAACAGACGAGGAGCUUGCUCCUCUGACGUUAGCGGCGGACGGGUGAGUAACACGUGGAUAACCUACCUAUAAGACUGGGAUAACUUCGGGAAACCGGAGCUAAUACCGGAUAAUAUAUUGAACCGCAUGGUUCAAUAGUGAAAGACGGUUUUGCUGUCACUUAUAGAUGGAUCCGCGCCGCAUUAGCUAGUUGGUAAGGUAACGGCUUACCAAGGCUACGAUGCGUAGCCGACCUGAGAGGGUGAUCGGCCACACUGGAGCUGAGACACGGUCCAGACUCCUACGGGAGGCAGCAGUAGGGAAUCUUCCGCAAUGGGCGAGAGCCUGACGGAGCAACGCCGCGUGAGUGAUGAAGGUCUUCGGAUCGUAAAACUCUGUUAUUAGGGAAGAACAAAUGUGUAAGUAACUAUGCACGUCUUGACGGUACCUAAUCAGAAAGCCACGGCUAACUACGUG
rnacentral:rRNA from 1 species